rnacentral:rRNA from 1 species
ACGCUGUAAGCGAUGAUUACUCGUUGUUGGCAAUACAUCGUCAGCGACUGAGCGAAAGCAUUAAGUAAUCCACCUGGGGAGUACGAUCGCAAGAUUGAAACUCAAAGGAAUUGACGGGGGCCCGCACAAGCGGAGGAACAUGUGGUUUAAUUCGAUGAUACGCGAGGACCCUUACCUGGGCUUAAAUGCAAGACGACGGACCGGGAAACUGGUCUUUCUUCGGACGGAUUGCAAGGUGCUGCAUGGCUGUCGUCAGCUCGUGCCGUGAGGUGUCGGGUUAAGUCCCAUAACGAGCGCAACCCUCAUCAUUAGUUGCCAGCGGGUAAUGCCGGGGACUCUAAUGAAACUGCCGGUGUAAACCGAGAGGAAGGUGGGGAUGACGUCAAGUCAGCACGGCCCUUAUGUCCAGGGCUACACACGUGUUACAAUGGCCAGUACAAAGGGCAGCUACCUGGUGACAGGAUGCUAAUCUCUAAAACUGGUCUCAGUUCGGAUCGAAGUCUGCAACUCGACUUCGUGAAGUUGGAUUCGCUAGUAAUCGCGCAUCAGCCAUGGCGCGGUGAAUACGUUCCCGGGCCUUGUACACACCGCCCGUCAAGCCAUGGAAGCCGGGCGUACCUGAAGUUCGUAACCGCAAGGAGCGAC